GACGAAGGGGGCUAGCGUUGUUCGGAAUUACUGGGCGUAAAGCGCGUGUAGGCGGUUGUCCAAGUCGGGUGUGAAAGCCUUGAGCUCAACUCAAGAAAUGCACUCGAUACUGGGCGACUAGAGUGCCGGAGAGGAUAGUGGAAUUCCUGGUGUAGCGGUGAAAUGCGCAGAUAUCAGGAGGAACACCGGUGGCGAAGGCGGGUCUCUGGGCAACAACUGACGCUGAGGAGCGAAAGCGUGGGGAGCGAACAGG
rnacentral:rRNA from 1 species